rnacentral:rRNA from 1 species
GUAGAAUUAAUUAUUGAUAUAUUAUUUUUUUUUAGUUUAAAGUAAAUAUAUUAUUUUUUAUUAUAAUAAAGAAAAAAUUUUUUUAAUUAUAGUUUAAUAGUAUUGAGAAAGAAUUUUUAUUUACUUUUAAAAGAAAAAUUUAAAUUUUGUACCUUGUGUAUCAGGGUAGAUUAAUAAAUUUAAAUAUUUUGUUAUCUCGAAUUUAAAAGAGCUAUAUAAUUAUAUUUUUUAAUGUAACAUAAUUAUUAAUAAUAAUUAUAUAGUAAUGAAAUGUUAUUCGUUUUUAAAUAUAUCUGGUUUUUUUAGAAAUAAAUUUAAUUUUAUUUAUAUUUAUAUUUUUUAAUUAAUAAUUAGUAUGUAGAUAUAAUUAAAUAAUUAUAGGGAUAAGCUUAUAGUUAUAUUAUGAUAAAUUUAAUUUUUUAUUUAAUUUAUAAAAUUAGAAUUGUUUAAUAAUUAAAAUAUGUUAUAAUUUUUUAAAUGAAAAUUUAUAUUUAAUUGUAUUUUCAUUUUUUUAUAAAAAUAUUAUUAUAAAUAUUAAAUAGUAAGUUAUAAUGAUUUAAUUAGUAUAAUAUUUUGUAUUAAAUUAUUUGAAUUAAAGUUUUAAUUAAGGAAUUCGGCAAAGAUUUUUUUACCUGUUUAUUAAAAACAUGUCUUUUUGAUUAUAAUUUAAAGUUUAACCUGCCCACUGAAGAUUAAAUGGCCGCGGUAAUUUGACCGUGCAAAGGUAGCAUAAUCAAUAGUUUUUUAAUUGAAAGCUGGAAUGAAGGGUUGGAUAAAAAAAAUACUUUCUAAUUAAAUUUAUUGAAAUUUAUUUUUAAGUUAAAAAGCUUAAAUAUUUUUAAGGGACGAGAAGACCCUAUAGAGUUUAAUAUUUAUUAAUUAUUAUUUUUUAGGUAUUUAUAAUUUAAUUUUUAAUAUAUAAAUAUGAUAUAUGUAUAUAUUUAAUUGGGGUGAUUGAAAAAUUAAUAAACUUUUUUUAAUUAAAUCAUAAAUUUAUGUUUUAUUGAUCCAUAAAGUGUGAUUAUAAGAUUAAAUUACCUUAGGGAUAACAGCGUAAUUUUAUUUGAAAGUUCUUAUUGAAAGUAAAGAUUGCGACCUCGAUGUUGGAUUAAGAUUAAUUUUUGGUGAAGAAGUUAAAAAUUAAGGUCUGUUCGACCUAUAGAAUCUUACAUGAUCUGAGUUUAAACCGGUGUGAGCCAGGUUGGUUUCUAUCUUUAAAUUAAUAUAAUAUUUUAGUACGAAAGGACCAAAUAUUAAGUUAAUAAUUUUUUUAUUGAUUAAUAUU